AAAUUUGGAAAGACUGCCUUGGUCUUCUACACCAUGGUGAAAGUCAUUCUUACAUUACAUCUCUCUCUCUCUCUUUCUCUAACUUAUUAUUGGUAUUGCAGAAAUUUUCCUAAAGUAAGACUUUGGUGAGGCUUUUCACAUGUCACGCAAACAACACUGUCUGACCCACAUUUUCUGUUUUUCCUUGUGUCUCAGGAGUGUCUCUUUGAAGAUGCGUGUCUUCAGGUGAGUCAGCUGUUGUGGAGUCAUUAUUUUGGAUUUGCUUUGCAUGAGAAAAGAGUGAAAGAGCUGAGAACAAGGGGCAUCGAUGCAGAAGUCUCGUAUCAGUCAGUCACAGACAUAAAACUUAGCAUGAAAUCACAGAGAAUGAAAUUGUGUCUAUUAUUUUGAACAGACGUCCUUUUAUUUGUAUUGUUUUGUUGAGUGUGAUUAAAAGUUUAGAGAAAGAAAAGCAAACCACAAUUUGAUAUAUUUUUAAUUGUUGAAGCAAUAUGAAUCACCAUGGAAAACAAUUGUCCUUUUAACUAUGUAUUAUAUUAUUAUUCAUUGUCACCAGGCAAAAGUUUGCAGGCUAAUAUGUUUUCUUACUUCCCAAACAUUGAGGGCCUAAUCUACUAAGAUCCUUAAUAAUUAGUGCUAAAUUGCAUGUGCAAACUAAAAAAUGGCACAUGCUAUUAGUGGGGGUGUUGUGGGUGAUCUACUAUGACUGUGUGCACUAUUGAUAACAGGUGCAAAAGUGGUGCAGACUGCCCUAUUUAAAUGAGGAUUUUGCGUGUGCUACCGACUGUUUGUGAGAGCAGAGUGGCCGUAAACGAAAAAAUGUAGUUUAAGGCCAUUGAGUUGGAGGUCUUGGGGGAGAAGGCAAAUAAACACACUAGUAAACUCUAGUAGAGACUUCUCAGCAUUGCUAUAAGAGACACAAUUUGAUAGGCCAUCUGUGAAGAGGUGAAUACUGUCAGCAAAACCAAAUGAUCUGCCGUUUAAAUAAAAAGAAGAUGAACAAAAGGAAGAAAAAAUGAAAAACUUUCCCUUGAUAAAACCUCUGCUAACAAACCGGUGGGGGACCGGCAGAAAUCAGCCCUUGGGUCACUUAGCACUUCAAAAAGGCAUUGAUAUUACCAUUACUCUAAUAUUGUUAAUUCUGACAGUCCAAAUAUGUUGACACACACACACACACACACACAGAAGAUUCUCUCUUUGUUUCAUUGCACCUUUGCCUCCUUCUCGCAACUCAAACCACAGCCAUUUGUGCGUAACGCUAUGCCAGUUUGCACCUGCCAUUCCAACGUGCUAAAUAUAGAUGCAAAAACACCACAAUCAGUAUCAGGGUUUGAAAAAUCACAUUGCAGGUGCUACAUGAUACCACUCUCAUCUCCUCCUCCCAGUAUUUUGCACGUUCUGAUAAAAUACAUGCAUUCUGCAUAUUCAUGAAGGGAAACACACUGAAUCAUGGUAAUUCGCUCAUUUGACCGACACAAUCUAUGGUUCACUUGGUAAGUAGAUCAGCUUUGUUCACGCUAUCGAGUUUGCAAAUGUUUCUAAACCCGCAAACCUUUAGUAGAUCAGGCUUUUAAGACUCGACCAAAAAAAUCUCCAGGGCUGUUGAUUUUUACUAUAGUUUUUAUAGAUUUUACUCACAACUCAGUCCCAGCAAAUUUGCAGCUGUAUGCAUGAAGUGGAGGAGUCAAGAGAAAUUCAAUAGUUGAAGAAAAUCAGAGAGCUCAGUGAUGGCUCAUGGGUAGUGUGGGUCACCUAAAAAGCAGAAGGUCAGUAUGUUUUUGAUAGAGUUGAAAGUAUUCAUGAGGGUGAUAUUUAACCACUAACUGCACUGUAUGAGUGUAAAUGAUUUGCCAAAGAGUUGCCUUCUCCAGCACAAAAUUAGGCAACAAUUCUAACAAAAAAAAAGACCAAAAAAAAUAGCGUCUGUCAGGAUGGCAUGUAAUGUCAAGGAAAAAAACAGGAUUUCCUUCCACCCCCAAAGGAAGCUGAGCAAGAGACAACCCCCCUCUCUUCCAACCUUUGCACACACUGACACCACAGUCAGUCAGCAGAGCAGCAGACGACGUGUGAAGCAGUCAUGAGUUUUACUGUUCCUUGUAAAAUAUGCUCUAUAACAUUCUGUUGUUAGUCAUGUCCUCAUAAAGCUCACUUUUACACCAAUACAGUAUGCAUACUGCCGAAAGUUUUUACACAACCUCACACAUUCUCACACCAAUCAAUACACUAAAAUGUCACUGUGUUGGCUACCAAUGACAUUUCUUGGACCGCCUCAUACAAAGGCUCAUAAACCAUAAAUUUCCCCCCCCGAAGAACAAUAGACUACGGGAGGACACACACCAGCACACACACAUACACUAACACCUGUGCGCAAACAUACCAAAGCUCAGGUCAUGGCACGAACUAAUAGGACAAUAAGUCAAUUUUAGUGAUCAUAGUACAUUUUCUCAGAGUUAUGAGGGGCAAUAAAAAAAUCCCUGUCACAUGAGGUCAAAGUUCAGCUCAUGUUGUUCUGAGGCUGCUAACACGCGCUUCACAGUGUUAACUUUAACGACUUUUCCUGAACAGAUGAGCUUUUUAAUUAGCUUAUUUACAAAAUCCAUAAGACCAAGCUCUUCUCAUAUUUUAGACUCCAUACAAAAACAAGGUCAGUUUACAGUUAAAUGAAUAGAGGCCAUCCCUCAUGUCUAAGAAACUAACACAGGAAAAGAAAGGGACCUUACUAAUAAGUGACUGGCUUGAGUGUGCUGUAAUGGCUUUGCCCUCCCUGUCCUCCCAGGGUACUAACUUAUAGUGGUGGAAUAAAGUUUUGAUCCCACUCACUCAUAAAAGGCCAUUAUUGUUGCAUUUAUGUUGUAGCGCUGUCUACAUAGCUAAUUAUAAAUAACAAAAGUCCUUCUUGACAAAGUAAAUAAAUCAGGAUUUAUAGGUGGCACCAAGGGUUGGCAAUCAGAACUCGGGUUGGGAAGGUGAGAGAGAGGUUAGGGACACCCUUGUCUAUUGUGGGUGGAUGUGAUCAUUCAUCCUCUGUAUUGGUGUGAUGUUUUGUGUUUCAAUGUUUACCAUAAUAAUUAUUUUUGUUUGGUUUUAAAAAAAGGCACAGCAGGUAGUGCAUGUACCUCACAGCAAGAAGGUCACCGGAAUGAUCCCGGUAUGAUGAUGAUGAUGUGAAGUUUGCAUGUUCUUCCUGUGCAUGCGUGGGUUCUCUCCGGGCACUCCGGCUUCUUCCCACAGACCAAAACCAUAUUCUUUAAGUUAACUGGUGACUCUAAAUUGUCCUUGGGUAUGAGUGUGAGUAUCACCGGGUUCUCUCUCUCUCUCUCUCUCUCUCUCUCUCUAUGUAGCCCUGCAAUUGACUGCCGACUGAUUCAGGGUGUACCUCACCUCUCGCCCGAUGUCAGCUGGGAUAGGCUCCAGCCCACCCUCGACCCCGAAAGAGAUAAGUGGUACAGAAAAUGGAUGGAUGGAUGAAUGGAUAUUUUUUUUACUCUGUAUCUUUUCAGGUCUCUUGUGUCCUACCACAGACCAGUAUCCCAUAUUACAGACACAUAAAACCAACCCCUAAAGAGUUAACUUGUAAAGUUGACAAAACUAAACUACAACACUGAAAAUUAACUGAAGCUCAACUGAAAUUGUAAAGAAAAAGUACAGUUUUUGUUUGUGCAUUAUACUUUGUGUUUUGAUUUUGCACUGCUAACUUACCUGCACUCUCUACCUUGGAUGACCUGGCUUAGUCAGUGCCAUUGCAUGACCUCUUGACUUCCUUGGGGCAGAAGGAUCAAUCAGUGUCAGAACCAUUAAUUAGCAUACGUUUCCAUUCGGGCACAGACCUACCUGAUCAGGACUUCUGUUUGUCUGUCUGACAAGCUCCAUGAAUAACAUUUUCUAAUUCACCCUACAACAGAGGAAGAGUUCUGCACUAGUGCAUUAAGAACUAAGACCCGGUUUUUCAUAAUCCCUUUAAGAAUCAGGCCUUUGGUGUAAAAGACCGGUGAACCAGCAACUCAAUAAAUAAGGCUUUAACAAAUAUUUGUAGUGGUCACAGUCCAAACAACAUGAUUGAUUCUCCCUCUAAAUUAUUUUGAAUCUUUUCCAAAAUCAGAGGGAGUAUUUUUCUUUCUUUUUUUUUCCAUUGUUGGCAUCUUUUAUGUAAUCUACUAACCCAUCAAGAAAGUUGGCAUCCGUUCCACAGUGCCUCGCUGCACCGGGGCCUUAAAUAUUUGUCACAGUAGAUAUUUAAGCUUUUACUACACAACACAGUGUCACCAAUAUCUGUUGGAGGAAUCAUCAGUUAGUCUGUAUUUGUAAAUCUUACUCGAGCAUUGGCUAAGAAGGAAAUGUUGAUCUUUUUUGGCAAGUUUCGAGUUUUGGCUGAGUUACUUCGGCAGUGACUUGGAAAGGGUUCCAGCAUUUAGACUCAAGCGAAACAUUAAAGGCGUGUGCUAAUGCGUUAGCUCCUGGAUUCAAAUGCUUUCUAUUUUCAUUCAUGAGACAUUUAAUCAGGCAUUUACAAACAAACUGAUACUUUUGAUCUAUAAUACACAGAGAUUAAUAUGUCACCCCUCCUGUGGAUGCAAGUAUUUAUCUACCUUUAUGUUCCUGGAGAUGAAAGCAGGGGGGAGGAGAGUGGAAGAAAGGAGGAGAGGAGAGGAAAUGUUAUGCCUUGUCACGGAUGAUGUAAUUCAGCCCCAGUUAGGCAACCCUGUGCUCUGUGAGAAAUCUGGGAAAUAGCACAACAAAAACCUUAACACGCAUGCACAGAUGCACUAACAGAGCCGUAAGGAUGAGAUGUAAUUUUAUUUCAAGAUUCAAAUCGGAAAGAGUCCAAAUAAAUCCAAUAAAAUAUGUCCCACUCUAUUACUCAGAGUGGAAGCAGAGAGGCCACAUCGGCAUUACAGGGCGUACACACAAAGGCUGAAAUACAAAUACAACACUACAGGCACACACACACACACACACACACACACACACACACACACACACACACACACACACACACACACACACACACACACACACACACACACACACACACACGCAGGGGAUGACAGAAUGGCCCUGGAGCUGUCAUGGGAGAGUGGGCUGUCAUUUGGAGAAGGGAGCCAAGGGACCAGGGAAAGGGUUAGAGUAAGAAAAAAGGUGAAUGGCAGGCAGGGUAAAGAGCAAGAAAUUUAAAACAAGUGAUUGAACUGUACACAUAAAACGGUAUAUUUUCAUAUUAAAAUAUAUAUGUAUACUGUUUCGCUGGAACAAUUUUUUCUUACACUUUAUGGGAGUGGCAUAGAGGGGAAUCUGUUAUUGUAGUUUAAGGAAGAUCAAAAGGAAAAGGGUGACGGGGGAGCAUGAGAGAUCAAGUUGGGAACGAACGCACAAUUGAGGUGGAAAGGGAUGUCUCAGCACGACAUAUACCCACUGAUAUAUUCACUUGAGGCUAUUGGAUAUUCAGUUUGAUGUAUUAGUGUACCGCUGUGCCACAGAAGUUAUAUAUUGACAUCCUCAAGAGCGUGGAAUGAAAAACUAAUUGCUGACUGUCCCCAACAGGGAAACAAUAUAGGCUUUUUUGUCACAGAAAAGUAACUGAGAAUCGAUGUAGUGCUUCUCAUGUUUCAUAAUACUGCAUCCUUUUACCUCAACAACAAUGCAGUGAAAAGGCUUUUUUACUGAGCUAUGUAAACUUUAGUAUAUAAGAGGUUUAAUUUAUGAAAAGUCAGUAUGUUUUUGCUUUAUUUUUUCUGCCUCAAUCAAUCACCCCCUUUCUGCAUUUUCCACUCACCAUGUCCAAAAAAAUCACAGCAGAUAACUGCUCACAAAUCUGGCUCUAAUUUCAGGGCUCUAUUUUUGUGCCUCGCCAGCUGCAUGGUGCAGGUGCGGCGUAAGUCAGGUCCGCCGCACCGAUAAGGCGUUCCCAAGCAUAAUAAGGUAUUUUGGUGAGCGGCACAGCCCAGCUUAAGUAUCCCCCCCUCCCUAACUCAGCUCCUCCCAGCGGCGUUAGUAGUAGAGAGGGAGUAGAGAAGACGUUGAGUGGGUUUAACACAGCCAAGACCUGUUUUCACCAAUCACAUCAGCUCCUCUCCUCACCUUUAAAUCUGCCACCGGCGAGGCGUAUUACAAUUUUCAUGCAGUAGUCGAAGAGAUCAAGAGGCGCACCCGCCAGCGGGCACAAAAAUAGAGCCCUUAGCCUUUACCUGUUUGAUACCAUGAUAUAAUUAAAACAAAUUUUAAAAAAUAAAUAAAAAUGGAUCAAAUAUUUGUUCAGUCAUUGGUCAUUAGGUGCCCAAUAAAAACCACUGUCCUUGGUGCAGCAACCCUGGGAUUCAACCCAGACCCUCUGCUCUUUCUCAGCACCCUAAACUCUGGCCUAUCAAACCAGGCUAAAAUACAAGAAAUAGAUUUAAAAUGAACAACAAAAUCAAUGACAACACUAAUAAUAAUUCAAUAAAACUAUUACUUUUUCCUGUGACACAAUGAAAAUAAAAUUUUACAAAAAUAAAGAACACUAAUAUCAAUGCACUACUAAUGGCAGAUCAGUUGUCAACACAUUGUUUUUAUCCCAAUGUAUUUAUUUAUCUUUAUUUUGAAAAUAUUUUUGCUCAGCUACUGCCCCUGCAAAUUGUCAGCCAACAUAUCUCAGCAGUGCUGGGCUACACGAUAACUUAAAAAAAAGUUACACACUCUGUGGAUCAUAUUAUGCAUAAGUGUAAAUCAAACUCUCAAUUUGUCUUUAACUACGUGUAAUUAAGCUUACAUAGUUAACGGACUUCAAAGAGAUUCAUUGGGUUCAUCCUGACAACUCAGUGAACUAAUAUUAAUGGGCUACAGCUGUGAAAAUCUGCUGCCUAAAUUUGUCAUUUCAUCCAGGAGGACAGACAGUUGCCAGCUUCAGUUAAAUUAAAUGAGGAGGAAACGAUCCUCGUGUUUGACACUGAAUGUUGCCUGACUGGGAAUAUCACUUUGAGUCAUCAUGAAAUUAAUAUCAGGACCAGCCACAGCUUAGACUUUACUUUUCAAUAAAUCCUGAACUUCAUCAUUAGUCCUGACUCUAAAAACUGGGAAUUUAAUUGCAGGUGGAUAUGGUCUGUGUAACCUAAAACUAAGUCUUGAUCUAGUAACACAGAAAUUUAAGAGCCUUUGCACUAUUGCACUUUUUUUUUUUCAUGCGCAUGUUUUGCCUGUUUCUGUGGUUACACAACCUCUUAAAAACCCAAACUGCCAUGAACUCGAAUUACUUAAACUUGAAAGUGGUAACUCCAGGCUAUCUGGUAACAUUUUUAACAGUCUCCUGUUGUAGUGAAAGCGACAUUAACCAGGGUCUGAUAGGGUUCUUACCUUUUUAUAGAGCACUGAGUUGCAUAUCUGUCAGUUUGAGAGAGCUGAUCUUCAGCUGGAGUUGCAGAAAUCAAAGGCCAGGGAGAAAAACUGCAAACUGCAAAAGCAUGUCUCUGAUCUCAAAAUAUGUGCUUGUCUGAACUGUCUGUGUCAGCUUCAGUGUGUUUCGGUAUACAAAAGUAGUUAUUGUAUUGACAAAAGCAUGCAUGUGUCAACUACUGCAUAUUUUAGCCUAUGGUAACGUAAGAAUCUUUAAUAUACCAGCUGUGUUAAAAUUGAUUCUGAUUGGUCUAAACCUACUAAUAACAAUAAUCAAAUCUCUGUUAGCAGAGGAUUCCCAGGGACAACCUGAUCCCUCACAUCCUAUCAGCGUCACAUCCAUCUGUUAUUGGGAAAAGUGGAGCAACAUCCUGUCCUGCAAUUCACAUAAUGG
rnacentral:lncRNA from 1 species